rnacentral:rRNA from 1 species
GCUUAACGCGAAGAACCUUACCUACUCUUGACAUCCAGAGAACUUAGCAGAGAUGCUUUGGUGCCUUCGGGAACUCUGAGACAGGUGCUGCAUGGCUGUCGUCAGCUCGUGUUGUGAAAUGUUGGGUUAAGUCCCGCAACGAGCGCAACCCUUAUCCUUUGUUGCCAGCGGUUAGGCCGGGAACGUCAAAGGAGACUGCCAGUGAUAAACUAGGAGGAAGGUGGGGAUGGACGUCAAGUCAUCAUGGCCCUUACGAGUAGGGCUACACACGUGCUACAAUGGCAUAUACAAAGAGAAGCGACCUCGCGAGAGCAAGCGGACCUCAUAAAGUAUGUCGUAGUCCGGAUUGGAGUCUGCAACUCGACUCCAUGAAGUCGGAAUCGCUAGUAAUCGUGGAUCAGAAUGCCACGGUGAAUACGUUCCCGGGUCUUCGUACACACCG